GAUGAACGCUGGCGGCGUGCCUAAUACAUGCAAGUCGAGCGAACAGACGAGGAGCUUGCUCCUCUGACGUUAGCGGCGGACGGGUGAGUAACACGUUGAUAACCUACCUAUAAGACUGGGAUAACUUCGGGAAACCGGAGCUAAUACCGGAUAAUAUAUUGAACCGCAUGGUUCAAUAGUGAAAGACGGUUUUGCUGUCACUUAUAGAUGGAUCCGCGCCGCAUUAGCUAGUUGGUAAGGUAACGGCUUACCAAGGCAACGAUGCGUAGCCGACCUGAGAGGGUGAUCUGCCACACUGGAACUGAGACACGGUCCAGACUCCUACGGGAGGCAGCAGUAGGGAAUCUUCCGCAAUGGGCGAAAGCCUGACGGAGCAACGCCGCGUGAGUGAUGAAGGUCUUCGGAUCGUAAAACUCUGUUAUUAGGGAAGAACAAAUGUGUAAGUAACUAUGCACGUCUUGACGGUACCUAAUCAGAAAGCCACGGCUAACUACGUG
rnacentral:rRNA from 1 species